rnacentral:rRNA from 1 species
AUACGUAGGGUGCGAGCGCUGUCCGGAAUUACUGGGCGUAAAGAGCUCGUAGGUGGUUUGUCGCGUCGUCUGUGAAAUUCCGGGGCUUAACUCCGGGCGUGCAGGCGAUACGGGCAUAACUUGAGUACUGUAGGGGAGACUGGAAUUCCUGGUGUAGCGGUGAAAUGCGCAGAUAUCAGGAGGAACACCGGUGGCGAAGGCGGGUCUCUGGGCAGUAACUGACGCUGAGGAGCGAAAGCAUGGGUAGCGAACAGGAUUAGAUACCCUGGUAGUCCAUGCCGUAAACGGUGGGCGCUAGGUGUAGGGGUCUUCCACGACUUCUGUGCCGUAGCUAACGCAUUAAGCGCCCCGCCUGGGGAGUACGGCCGCAAGGCUAAA